AAUAGUAACUCUGUUACUAAAAAAUGUAGAUCUUUAGCAUUGAUUAGAGAAGUGCUUAUAUUUUUUAACAAAACCAGAUGGUUAUUGGUCUUGUACUUUAAUCUAUGUCUUGUUAUUGAUUGCAUUUUCUUUGUUAUGUUUUGCUUUGUUUUACCAUUGAAAGUAACUGAAUAUUUCUUGUACCCUGGUCUUUAGACUUACACAGAGUAUUGGAAUGCUAUCCAGCACAUUUUUUAGGAGUACUCGGAAGGAAGAUAUUGUAGUUCCUAUGGUAAGAAUAGUUUUAGGUAUUGUUGUUGCAUACUUCUUAAAUGCUUUUGAAUUGUGUUCAAAAUUCUUUUCCAGCAGGCUUAUUGCUAUAUUUAUGUUGAAUGAAAGUAAAUUGACUGGAUAAUCAUUUAGGGGUGGUUAUGGGCCAUGUUUGGGCCAUGUCAAGGUCAGCCAGAAUCUAACCUAUUUACUAAUUGAGCCAAAAUCAGACUUCACAUACAUUAUUUUAAUGCAAGCCGAGGAUAAACAUCUUAUGCUAGAAGUAAGAUACAUUUUUCUCUACUUGUUACUUUAUUAAAAGCAUGCCACUAUUUUUCUCUACAGUCCAAUCUGUUGAUAUGAUGGACUCCCUGUAGAUGGGAGAUGCACCAAAAAUUUGCCAAAUUGGAGGAUCCUAACAAUUAUUCUUAAGAGCAGUAACAACCCAUGUUCCGAGAUUUGUUUUGGGAGAUGAGUGUUUGAUGAUGCAGGCUGAGGUGUAUCAUUCGUACAUGGAAGUGUUACGUGGAUAUGAGAUUUUUAAUGCAGAUGGAGAUAUGUGGAGGAAGCAAAGAAAGACUGCAAGCUUGGAGUUCGCAUCAAAGAACUUGAGAGAUUCCAGUACUCUUGUAUUCAGAGACUAUGCCCUCAAGCUAUCAACUAUCUUAUGCCAAGCUUUUAUACAAAACCAACAAGUAGGCGUGCAGGAUGUCCAGGUAGUGCAAAAAGGUGGGCCCAAUCAGGAUGAACACUUGGCCUGAAAAUUGAACAGGUCGACUCAGCGAGGAGGGCAACAACCAAUGAUCUGACCCAACAUACAGCUGUUGCCCAAUUGAUGUGUGGAUACACCUGUUUUUCAUGGUGGAAUCCACAUUUUGCAAGAAAGAAUUGGAUGUUCUACGCAUGUGCAAUUCCCACCGGCAACGAGAAAGGGUUAAGCAGAGGCUGGCACUUUAUCAUGGGGUGUUGACCAUAUAUAUGUAGUUCUCCAAUGAUGCAGAAGAGACGUUCUCUUGAGCUCUGAAUCUCCUGCUGGUAUGGAAUUAUCGAAUGCUUGCACUCAUGGAUCUUGAUUGUUUUUAUUUCUCCUUGUUUUCCCCUUUAAUAGUUAAUUCUAUAAAAUUUUCAUG